rnacentral:tRNA from 1 species
UAGCCCAGUUGGUAGAGUGUUUGCCUUGCAUGCACAAAGCCCUGGGUUCAAUCCCCAG